rnacentral:rRNA from 1 species
AGUGAACGCUGGCGGCAGGCCUAACACAUGCAAGUCGAGCGGCAGCGGGUCCUUCGGGAUGCCGGCGAGCGGCGGACGGGUGAGGAAUGCGUCGGAAUCUGCCUUUUUAUGGGGGUUAACGUAGGGAAACUUACGCUAAUACCGCAUACGACCUACGGGUGAAAGUGGGGGACCGCAAGGCCUCACGCAGAAAGAUGAGCCGACGCCGGAUUAGCUAGUUGGCGGGGUAAAGGCCCACCAAGGCGACGAUCCGUAGCUGGUCUGAGAGGAUGAUCAGCCACACUGGAACUGAGACACGGUCCAGACUCCUACGGGAGGCAGCAGUGGGGAAUAUUGGACAAUGGGCGCAAGCCUGAUCCAGCCAUGCCGCGUGUGUGAAGAAGGCCUUCGGGUUGUAAAGCACUUUUGUCCGGAAAGAAAUCCAAUCGAUUAAUACUCGGUUGGGAUGACGGUACCGGAAGAAUAAGCACCGGCUAACUUCGUGCCAGCAGCCGCAGUAAGAC